UUAAGCGACUAAGCGUACACGGUGGAUGCCCUGGCAGUCAGAGGCGAUGAAGGACGUGCUAAUCUGCGAUAAGCGUCGGUGAGGUGAUAUGAACCGUUAUAACCGGCGAUUUCCGAAUGGGGAAACCCAGUGUGUUUCGACACACUAUCAUUAACUGAAUCCAUAGGUUAAUGAGGCGAACCGGGGGAACUGAAACAUCUAAGUACCCCGAGGAAAAGAAAUCAACCGAGAUUCCCCCAGUAGCGGCGAGCGAACGGGGAGGAGCCCAGAGCCUGAAUCAGUGUGUGUGUUAGUGGAAGCGUCUGGAAAGGCGCGCGAUACAGGGUGACAGCCCCGUACACAAAAAUGCACAUACUGUGAGCUCGAUGAGUAGGGCGGGACACGUGGUAUCCUGUCUGAAUAUGGGGGGACCAUCCUCCAAGGCUAAAUACUCCUGACUGACCGAUAGUGAACCAGUACCGUGAGGGAAAGGCGAAAAGAACCCCGGCGAGGGGAGUGAAAAAGAACCUGAAACCGUGUACGUACAAGCAGUGGGAGCCUCUUAAUGGGGUGACUGCGUACCUUUUGUAUAAUGGGUCAGCGACUUAUAUUCUGUAGCAAGGUUAACCGAAUAGGGGAGCCGAAGGGAAACCGAGUCUUAACUGGGCGUUAAGUUGCAGGGUAUAGACCCGAAACCCGGUGAUCUAGCCAUGGGCAGGUUGAAGGUUGGGUAACACUAACUGGAGGACCGAACCGACUAAUGUUGAAAAAUUAGCGGAUGACUUGUGGCUGGGGGUGAAAGGCCAAUCAAACCGGGAGAUAGCUGGUUCUCCCCGAAAGCUAUUUAGGUAGCGCCUCGUGAAUUCAUCUCCGGGGGUAGAGCACUGUUUCGGCAAGGGGGUCAUCCCGACUUACCAACCCGAUGCAAACUGCGAAUACCGGAGAAUGUUAUCACGGGAGACACACGGCGGGUGCUAACGUCCGUCGUGAAGAGGGAAACAACCCAGACCGCCAGCUAAGGUCCCAAAGUCAUGGUUAAGUGGGAAACGAUGUGGGAAGGCCCAGACAGCCAGGAUGUUGGCUUAGAAGCAGCCAUCAUUUAAAGAAAGCGUAAUAGCUCACUGGUCGAGUCGGCCUGCGCGGAAGAUGUAACGGGGCUAAACCAUGCACCGAAGCUGCGGCAGCGACACUGUGUGUUGUUGGGUAGGGGAGCGUUCUGUAAGCCUGUGAAGGUGUGCUGUGAGACAUGCUGGAGGUAUCAGAAGUGCGAAUGCUGACAUAAGUAACGAUAAAGCGGGUGAAAAGCCCGCUCGCCGGAAGACCAAGGGUUCCUGUCCAACGUUAAUCGGGGCAGGGUGAGUCGACCCCUAAGGCGAGGCCGAAAGGCGUAGUCGAUGGGAAACAGGUUAAUAUUCCUGUACUUGGUGUUACUGCGAAGGGGGGACGGAGAAGGCUAUGUUGGCCGGGCGACGGUUGUCCCGGUUUAAGCGUGUAGGCUGGUUUUCCAGGCAAAUCCGGAAAACCAAGGCUGAGGCGUGAUGACGAGGCACUACGGUGCUGAAGCGACAAAUGCCCUGCUUCCAGGAAAAGCCUCUAAGCAUCAGGUAACAUCAAAUCGUACCCCAAACCGACACAGGUGGUCAGGUAGAGAAUACCAAGGCGCUUGAGAGAACUCGGGUGAAGGAACUAGGCAAAAUGGUGCCGUAACUUCGGGAGAAGGCACGCUGAUAUGUAGGUGAAGCGACUUGCUCGUGGAGCUGAAAUCAGUCGAAGAUACCAGCUGGCUGCAACUGUUUAUUAAAAACACAGCACUGUGCAAACACGAAAGUGGACGUAUACGGUGUGACGCCUGCCCGGUGCCGGAAGGUUAAUUGAUGGGGUUAGCGGCAACGCGAAGCUCUUGAUCGAAGCCCCGGUAAACGGCGGCCGUAACUAUAACGGUCCUAAGGUAGCGAAAUUCCUUGUCGGGUAAGUUCCGACCUGCACGAAUGGCGUAAUGAUGGCCAGGCUGUCUCCACCCGAGACUCAGUGAAAUUGAACUCGCUGUGAAGAUGCAGUGUACCCGCGGCAAGACGGAAAGACCCCGUGAACCUUUACUAUAGCUUGACACUGAACAUUGAGCCUUGAUGUGUAGGAUAGGUGGGAGGCUUUGAAGUGUGGACGCCAGUCUGCAUGGAGCCGACCUUGAAAUACCACCCUUUAAUGUUUGAUGUUCUAACGUUGGCCCCUAAUCGGGGUUGCGGACAGUGUCUGGUGGGUAGUUUGACUGGGGCGGUCUCCUCCUAAAGAGUAACGGAGGAGCACGAAGGUUGGCUAAUCCUGGUCGGACAUCAGGAGGUUAGUGCAAUGGCAUAAGCCAGCUUGACUGCGAGCGUGACGGCGCGAGCAGGUGCGAAAGCAGGUCAUAGUGAUCCGGUGGUUCUGAAUGGAAGGGCCAUCGCUCAACGGAUAAAAGGUACUCCGGGGAUAACAGGCUGAUACCGCCCAAGAGUUCAUAUCGACGGCGGUGUUUGGCACCUCGAUGUCGGCUCAUCACAUCCUGGGGCUGAAGUAGGUCCCAAGGGUAUGGCUGUUCGCCAUUUAAAGUGGUACGCGAGCUGGGUUUAGAACGUCGUGAGACAGUUCGGUCCCUAUCUGCCGUGGGCGCUGGAGAACUGAGGGGGGCUGCUCCUAGUACGAGAGGACCGGAGUGGACGCAUCACUGGUGUUCGGGUUGUCAUGCCAAUGGCACUGCCCGGUAGCUAAAUGCGGAAGAGAUAAGUGCUGAAAGCAUCUAAGCACGAAACUUGCCCCGAGAUGAGUUCUCCCUGAGACUUAGAGUCUCCUGAAGGAACGUUGAAGACGACGACGUUGAUAGGCCGGGUGUGUAAGCGCAGCGAUGCGUUGAGCUAACCGGUACUAAUGAACCGUGAGGCUUAACCUU
rnacentral:rRNA from 1 species